rnacentral:rRNA from 1 species
AAAUUGAAGAGUUUGAUCAUGGCUCAGAUUGAACGCUGGCGGCAGGCCUAACACAUGCAAGUCGAGCGGUAGCACAGAGAGCUUGCUCUCGGGUGACGAGCGGCGGACGGGUGAGUAAUGUCUGGGAAACUGCCUGAUGGAGGGGGAUAACUACUGGAAACGGUAGCUAAUACCGCAUAACGUCGCAAGACCAAAGUGGGGGACCUUCGGGCCUCAUGCCAUCAGAUGUGCCCAGAUGGGAUUAGCUAGUAGGUGGGGUAACGGCUCACCUAGGCGACGAUCCCUAGCUGGUCUGAGAGGAUGACCAGCCACACUGGAACUGAGACACGGUCCAGACUCCUACGGGAGGCAGCAGUGGGAAUAUUGCACAAUGGGCGCAAGCCUGAUGCAGCCAUGCCGCGUGUGUGAAGAAGGCCUUCGGGUUGUAAAGCACUUUCAGCGGGGAGGAAGGCGGUGAGGUUAAUAACCUCAUCGAUUGACGUUACCCGCAGAAGAAGCACCGGCUAACUCCGUGCCAGCAGCCGCGGUAAUACGGAGGGUGCAAGCGUUAAUCGGAAUUACUGGGCGUAAAGCGCACGCAGGCGGUCUGUCAAGUCGGAUGUGAAAUCCCCGGGCUUAACCUGGGAACUGCAUUCGAAACUGGCAGGCUAGAGUCUUGUAGAGGGGGGUAGAAUUCCAGGUGUAGCGGUGAAAUGCGUAGAGAUCUGGAGGAAUACCGGUGGCGAAGGCGGCCCCCUGGACAAAGACUGACGCUCAGGUGCGAAAGCGUGGGGAGCAAACAGGAUUAGAUACCCUGGUAGUCCACGCCGUAAACGAUGUCGAUUUGGAGGUUGUGCCCUUGAGGCGUGGCUUCCGGAGCUAACGCGUUAAAUCGACCGCCUGGGGAGUACGGCCGCAAGGUUAAAACUCAAAUGAAUUGACGGGGGCCCGCACAAGCGGUGGAGCAUGUGGUUUAAUUCGAUGCAACGCGAAGAACCUUACCUGGUCUUGACAUCCACAGAACUUUCCAGAGAUGGAUUGGUGCCUUCGGGAACUGUGAGACAGGUGCUGCAUGGCUGUCGUCAGCUCGUGUUGUGAAAUGUUGGGUUAAGUCCCGCAACGAGCGCAACCCUUAUCCUUUGUUGCCAGCGGUCCGGCCGGGAACUCAAAGGAGACUGCCAGUGAUAAACUGGAGGAAGGUGGGGAUGACGUCAAGUCAUCAUGGCCCUUACGACCAGGGCUACACACGUGCUACAAUGGCAUAUACAAAGAGAAGCGACCUCGCGAGAGCAAGCGGACCUCAUAAAGUAUGUCGUAGUCCGGAUUGGAGUCUGCAACUCGACUCCAUGAAGUCGGAAUCGCUAGUAAUCGUAGAUCAGAAUGCUACGGUGAAUACGUUCCCGGGCCUUGUACACACCGCCCGUCACACCAUGGGAGUGGGUUGCAAAAGAAGUAGGUAGCUUAACCUUCGGGAGGGCGCUUACCACUUUGUGAUUCAUGACUGGGGUGAAGUCGUAACAAGGUAACCGUAGGGGAACCUGCGGUUGGAUCACCUCCUUACCUUAAAGAA